UACGGGGGGGGCAAGCGUUGUUCGGAAUUACUGGGCGUAAAGGGCUCGUAGGUGGCCAACUAAGUCAGACGUGAAAUCCCUCAGCUUAACUGGGGAACUGCGUCUGAUACUGGAUGGCUUGAGUUUGGGAGAGGGAUGCGGAAUUCCAGGUGUAGCGGUGAAAUGCGUAGAUAUCUGGAGGAACACCGGUGGCGAAGGCGGCAUCCUGGACCAGCACUGACACUGAGGAGCGAAAGCCAGGGGAGCAAACGGG
rnacentral:rRNA from 1 species